GUGAAAAACCUCAGCUCUGAAACAGCAGGCAACUUAAUAGACACAUUUCUGAAGAGCAAGAAGAAUUCCUCAGUAUGUGUUGAGGUGGCAGAAGAAGAGGACACCAGUGUUUGUUCCUCCAUGUCGGUGAACAAAGACAAGGACAGCUCUGAGGUGCAUGUUGUAUGUAAACCAAAGCAGUCUGGAGCAGUUUGCCUAAUAAGUCUCACCUUGAGCCCAUCUGAAGAUUCUAUGCAAGAUCCUUUGGCUACAACAACCGACUCUGAUUCUACAA